CUAUAACAUGCAGUCGAGCGGAUGGAUUGAGAGCUUGCUCUCAAGAAGUUAGCGGCGGACGGGUGAGUAACACGUGGGUAACCUGCCCAUAAGACUGGGAUAACUCCGGGAAACCGGGGCUAAUACCGGAUAACAUUUUGAACUGCAUGGUUCGAAAUUGAAAGGCGGCUUCGGCUGUCACUUAUGGAUGGACCCGCGUCGCAUUAGCUAGUUGGUGAGGUAACGGCUCACCAAGGCAACGAUGCGUAGCCGACCUGAGAGGGUGAUCGGCCACACUGGGACUGAGACACGGCCCAGACUCCUACGGGAGGCAGCAGUAGGGAAUCUUCCGCAAUGGACGAAAGUCUGACGGAGCAACGCCGCGUGAGUGAUGAAGGCUUUCGGGUCGUAAAACUCUGUUGUUAGGGAAGAACAAGUGCUAGUUGAAUAAGCUGGCACCUUGACGGUACCUAACCAGAAAGCCACGGCUAACUACGUGCCAGCAGCCGCGGUAAUACGUAGGUGGCAAGCGUUAUCCGGAAUUAUUGGGCGUAAAGCGCGCGCAGGUGGUUUCUUAAGUCUGAUGUGAAAGCCCACGGCUCAACCGUGGAGGGUCAUUGGAAACUGGGAGACUUGAGUGCAGAAGAGGAAAGUGGAAUUCCAUGUGUAGCGGUAAA
rnacentral:rRNA from 1 species